rnacentral:rRNA from 1 species
GUGGGGAAUAUUGGACAAUGGGCGAAAGCCUGAUCCAGCCAUGCCGCGUGUGUGAAGAAGGUCUUCGGAUUGUAAAGCACUUUAAGUUGGGAGGAAGGGCAUUAACCUAAUACGUUAGUGUUUUGACGUUACCAACAGAAUAAGCACCGGCUAACUUCGUGCCAGCAGCCGCGGUAAUACGAAGGGUGCAAGCGUUAAUCGGAAUUACUGGGCGUAAAGCGCGCGUAGGUGGUUCAGCAAGUUGAAGGUGAAAUCCCCGGGCUCAACCUGGGAAUUGCCUGCAAAACUACUGAGCUAGAGUACGUUAGAGGGUAGUGGAAUUUCCUGUGUAGGGGUGAAAUGCGUAGAUAUAGGAAGGAACACCAGUGGCGAAGGCGACUACCUGGAAUGAUACUGACACUGAGGUGCGAAAGCAUGGGGAGCAAACAGGAUUAGAAACCCCAGUAGUCC